UACGGAGGAUGCAAGCGUUAUCCGGAAUGAUUGGGCGUAAAGCGUCCGCAGGUGGCUGAGUAAGUCUGCUGUCAAAGCGCGAAGCUCAACUUCGUAAAGGCAGUGGAAACUACAUGGCUAGAGUGCGUUCGGGGCAGAGGGAAUUCCUGGUGUAGCGGUGAAAUGCGUAGAGAUCAGGAAGAACACCGGUGGCGAAAGCGCUCUGCUAGGCCGCAACUGACACUGAGGGACGAAAGCUAGGGGAGCGAAUGGG
rnacentral:rRNA from 1 species